rnacentral:rRNA from 1 species
AGAACGAACGCUGGCGGCAGGCCUCAAACAUGCAAGUCUAGGGGGUGUAGCAAUACAUCACCGGCGGACGGGUGCGUAACGCGUGGGAAUGUACCUAUUGGUUCGGAACAACUGGGGGAAACUUCAGCUAAUACCGGAUGAGCCCGAAAGGGGAAAGAUUUCUCGCCAAUAGAUCAGCCCGCGUCCGAUUAGCUAGUUGGUGGGGUUAAAGCCUACCAAGGCGACGAUCGGUAGCUGUUCUGAGAGGAAGAUCAGCCACACUGGGACUGAGACACGGCCCAGACUCCUACGGGAGGCAGCAGUUGGGAAUCUUGGACAAUGGGGGAAACCCUGAUCCAGCCAUGCCGCGUGAGUGAUGAAGGCCUUCGGGUUGUAAAACUCUUUCGACGGGGACGAUAAUGACGGUACCCGUAGAAGAAGCUCCGGCUAACUUCGUGCCAGCAGCCGC